GUGGAUUAGAUACCCUGGUAGUCCACGCUGUAAACGAUGAUUACUCGUUGUUUGCGAUAUAUUGCAAGCGACUGAGCGAAAGCAUUAAGUAAUCCACCUGGGGAGUACGUUCGCAAGAAUGAAACUCAAAGGAAUUGACGGGGGCCCGCACAAGCGGAGGAACAUGUGGUUUAAUUCGAUGAUACGCGAGGAACCUUACCUGGGUUUAAAUGUAGGUUGCAUGGGGGGGAAACUUCCCUUUCCUUCGGGACUACUUACAAGGUGCUGCAUGGUCGUCGACAACU
rnacentral:rRNA from 1 species